rnacentral:rRNA from 1 species
UAAGUUAUUAAGGGCGCACGGUGGAUGCCUUGGCACUAGAAGCCGAUGAAGGACGUUACUAACGACGAUAUGCUUUGGGGAGCUGUAAGUAAGCUUUGAUCCAGAGAUUUCCGAAUGGGGAAACCCAGCAUGAGUUAUGUCAUGUUAUCGAUAUGUGAAUACAUAGCAUAUCAGAAGGCACACCCGGAGAACUGAAACAUCUUAGUACCCGGAGGAAGAGAAAGAAAAUUCGAUUCCCUUAGUAGCGGCGAGCGAAACGGGAAGAGCCCAAACCAACAAGCUUGCUUGUUGGGGUUGUAGGACACUCUAUACGGAGUUACAAAGGACGACAUUAGACGAAUCAUCUGGAAAGAUGAAUCAAAGAAGGUAAUAAUCCUGUAGUCGAAAAUGUUGUCUCUCUUGAGUGGAUCCUGAGUACGACGGAGCACGUGAAAUUCCGUCGGAAUCUGGGAGGACCAUCUCCUAAGGCUAAAUACUCUCUAGUGACCGAUAGUGAACCAGUACCGUGAGGGAAAGGUGAAAAGCACCCCGGAAGGGGAGUGAAAUAGAACCUGAAACCGUGUGCUUACAAGUAGUCAGAGCCCGUUAAUGGGUGAUGGCGUGCCUUUUGUAGAAUGAACCGGCGAGUUACGAUUUGAUGCAAGGUUAAGCAGUAAAUGUGGAGCCGUAGCGAAAGCGAGUCUGAAUAGGGCGUUUAGUAUUUGGUCGUAGACCCGAAACCAGGUGAUCUACCCUUGGUCAGGUUGAAGUUCAGGUAACACUGAAUGGAGGACCGAACCGACUUACGUUGAAAAGUGAGCGGAUGAACUGAGGGUAGCGGAGAAAUUCCAAUCGAACCUGGAGAUAGCUGGUUCUCUCCGAAAUAGCUUUAGGGCUAGCCUCAAGUGAUGAUUAUUGGAGGUAGAGCACUGUUUGGACGAGGGGCCCCUCUCGGGUUACCGAAUUCAGACAAACUCCGAAUGCCAAUUAAUUUAACUUGGGAGUCAGAACAUGGGUGAUAAGGUCCGUGUUCGAAAGGGAAACAGCCCAGACCACCAGCUAAGGUCCCAAAAUAUAUGUUAAGUGGAAAAGGAUGUGGCGUUGCCCAGACAACUAGGAUGUUGGCUUAGAAGCAGCCAUCAUUUAAAGAGUGCGUAAUAGCUCACUAGUCGAGUGACACUGCGCCGAAAAUGUACCGGGGCUAAACAUAUUACCGAAGCUGUGGAUUGUCCUUUGGACAAUGGUAGGAGAGCGUUCUAAGGGCGUUGAAGCAUGAUCGUAAGGACAUGUGGAGCGCUUAGAAGUGAGAAUGCCGGUGUGAGUAGCGAAAGACGGGUGAGAAUCCCGUCCACCGAUUGACUAAGGUUUCCAGAGGAAGGCUCGUCCGCUCUGGGUUAGUCGGGUCCUAAGCUGAGGCCGACAGGCGUAGGCGAUGGAUAACAGGUUGACAUUCCUGUACCACCUAUAAUCGUUUUAAUCGAUGGGGGGACGCAGUAGGAUAGGCGAAGCGUGCGAUUGGAUUGCACGUCUAAGCAGUAAGGCUGAGUAUUAGGCAAAUCCGGUACUCGUUAAGGCUGAGCUGUGAUGGGGAGAAGACAUUGUGUCUUCGAGUCGUUGAUUUCACACUGCCGAGAAAAGCCUCUAGAUAGAAAAUAGGUGCCCGUACCGCAAACCGACACAGGUAGUCAAGAUGAGAAUUCUAAGGUGAGCGAGCGAACUCUCGUUAAGGAACUCGGCAAAAUGACCCCGUAACUUCGGGAGAAGGGGUGCUCUUUAGGGUUAACGCCCAGAAGAGCCGCAGUGAAUAGGCCCAAGCGACUGUUUAUCAAAAACACAGGUCUCUGCUAAACCGUAAGGUGAUGUAUAGGGGCUGACGCCUGCCCGGUGCUGGAAGGUUAAGAGGAGUGGUUAGCUUCUGCGAAGCUACGAAUCGAAGCCCCAGUAAACGGCGGCCGUAACUAUAACGGUCCUAAGGUAGCGAAAUUCCUUGUCGGGUAAGUUCCGACCCGCACGAAAGGCGUAACGAUUUGGGCACUGUCUCAACGAGAGACUCGGUGAAAUCAUAGUACCUGUGAAGAUGCAGGUUACCCGCGACAGGACGGAAAGACCCCGUGGAGCUUUACUGUAGCCUGAUAUUGAAAUUCGGCACAGCUUGUACAGGAUAGGUAGGAGCCUUUGAAACGUGAGCGCUAGCUUACGUGGAGGCGCUGGUGGGAUACUACCCUAGCUGUGUUGGCUUUCUAACCCGCACCACUUAUCGUGGUGGGAGACAGUGUCAGGCGGGCAGUUUGACUGGGGCGGUCGCCUCCUAAAAGGUAACGGAGGCGCUCAAAGGUUUCCUCAGAAUGGUUGGAAAUCAUUCAUAGAGUGUAAAGGCAUAAGGGAGCUUGACUGCGAGACCUACAAGUCGAGCAGGGUCGAAAGACGGACUUAGUGAUCCGGUGGUUCCGCAUGGAAGGGCCAUCGCUCAACGGAUAAAAGCUACCCCGGGGAUAACAGGCUUAUCUCCCCCAAGAGUUCACAUCGACGGGGAGGUUUGGCACCUCGAUGUCGGCUCAUCGCAUCCUGGGGCUGUAGUCGGUCCCAAGGGUUGGGCUGUUCGCCCAUUAAAGCGGUACGCGAGCUGGGUUCAGAACGUCGUGAGACAGUUCGGUCCCUAUCCGUCGUGGGCGUAGGAAAUUUGAGAGGAGCUGUCCUUAGUACGAGAGGACCGGGAUGGACAUACCUCUGGUGUACCAGUUGUCGUGCCAACGGCAUAGCUGGGUAGCUAUGUGUGGACGGGAUAAGUGCUGAAAGCAUCUAAGCAUGAAGCCCCCCUCAAGAUGAGAUUUCCCAACUUCGGUUAUAAGAUCCCUCAAAGAUGAUGAGGUUAAUAGGUUCGAGGUGGAAGCAUGGUGACAUGUGGAGCUGACGAAUACUAAUCGAUCGAAGACUUAAUCA